UCCGUAGGUGAACCUGCGGAGGGAUCAUUAUCGAGUUACCGCUCUACAACCCUUUGUGAACAUACCUAACUGUUGCUUCGGCGGGCAGGGGGUCCCCCCGGGGACGCCCUCCCGGCCCCGCCCCCCUACCAGGGGACGUGGCGCCCGCCGGAGGAUACCCAACUCUAUUUUAACGACGUUUCUUCUGAGUGGCACAAGCAAAUAAUUAAAACUUUUAACAACGGAUCUCUUGGUUCUGGCAUCGAUGAAGAACGCAGCGAAAUGCGAUAAGUAAUGUGAAUUGCAGAAUUCAGUGAAUCAUCGAAUCUUUGAACGCACAUUGCGCCCGCCAGCAUUCUGGCGGGCAUGCCUGUUCGAGCGUCAUUUCAACCCUCAAGCUCUGCUUGGUGUUGGGGCCCUACGGUUGACGUAGGCCCUCAAAGGUAGUGGCGGACCCUCCCGGAGCCUCCUUUGCGUAGUAACUAACGUCUCGCAUCGGGAUCCGGAGGGACUCUUGCCGUAAAACCCCCCAAUUUUUCAAUGGUUGACCUCGGAUCAGGUAGGAAUACCCGCUGAACUUAAGCAUAUCAAUAAGCGGAGGA
rnacentral:rRNA from 1 species